AAGUCGAACGGAAAGGCCUUUUCGGAGGUACUCGAGUGGCGAACGGGUGAGUAACACGUGGGUGAUCUGCCCUGCACUCUGGGAUAAGCCUGGGAAACUGGGUCUAAUACCGGAUAGGACCGCACUUUAGUGUGUGUGGUGGAAAGUUUUUUCGGUGUAGGAUGAGCCCGCGGCCUAUCAGCUUGUUGGUGGGGUAAUGGCCUACCAAGGCGGCGACGGGUAGCCGGACUGAGAGGUUGGUCGGCCACAUUGGGACUGAGAUACGGCCCAGACUCCUACGGGAGGCAGCAGUGGGGAAUAUUGCACAAUGGGCGCAAGCCUGAUGCAGCGACGCCGCGUGGGGGAUGACGGCCUUCGGGUUGUAAACUCCUUUCGCCAGGGACGAAGCGUUUUGUGACGGUACCUGGAGAAGAAGCACCGGCUAACUACGUGCCAGCAGCCGCGGUAAUACGUAGGGUGCAAGCGUUGUCCGGAAUUACUGGGCGUAAAGAGCUCGUAGGUGGUUUGUCACGUCGUCUGUGAAAUUCCACAGCUUAACUGUGGGCGUGCAGGCGAUACGGGCUGACUUGAGUACUAUAGGGGUAACUGGGAUUCCUGGUGUAGCGGUGAAAUGCGCAGAUAUCAGGAGGACACCGAUGGCGAAGGCAG
rnacentral:rRNA from 1 species